rnacentral:rRNA from 1 species
UGAGGAAUAUUGCGCAAUGGGGGAAACCCUGACGCAGCAACGCCGCGUGGAGGAUGAAGGCUUCGGUUGUAAACUCCUUUUCUGAGGGAAGAGAUAAGGACGGUACCUCAGGAAUAAGUCACGGCUAACUACGUGCCAGCAGCCGCGGUAAUACGUAGGUGGCGAGCGUUAUCCGGAUUCAUUGGGCGUAAAGCGUACGCAGGCGGUUGGUCAAGUCUGACGUGAAAUCUCUCGGCUUAACUGGGAGCGGUCGUUGGAAACUGAUUGACUUGAGGUGGUGAGAGGAGUGCGGAAUUCCGGGUGUAGUGGUGGAAUGCGUAGAUAUCCGGAGGAACACCAGUGGCGAAAGCGGCACUCUGGCAUUUACCUGACGCUCAUGUACGAAAGCGUGGGGAGCGAACGGGAUUAGAUACCCCCGUAGUCC